UGGGGAAUUUUGGACGAAUUGGGCGAAAGCCUGAUCCAGCAAUGCCGCGUGUGUGAAGAAGGCCUUCGGGUUGUAAAGCACUUUUGUCCGGAAAGAAAUCCUUGGCUCUAAUACAGUCGGGGGAUGACGGUACCGGAAGAAUAAGCACCGGCUAACUACGUGCCAGCAGCCGCGGUAAUACGUAGGGUGCAAGCGUUAAUCGGAAUUACUGGGCGUAAAGCGUGCGCAGGCGGUUUGCUAAGACCGAUGUGAAAUCCCCGGGCUCAACCUGGGAACUGCAUUGGUGACUGGCAGGCUAGAGUAUGGCAGAGGGGGGUGAAAUUCCACGUGUAGCAGUGAAAUGCGUAGAGAUGUGGAGGAAUACCGAUGGCGAAGGCAGCCCCCU
rnacentral:rRNA from 1 species